rnacentral:rRNA from 1 species
GUAUGAACGGCAAAACCUCUUCCAACUGUCUCCCCUCCCAUCCUUUUAAAUUUCCUCCUGUGUGAAGAAGCACAGAUAUAUCAGAAAGACGAGAAGACCCUGUCGAGCUUUAACCACUAAGUGGGCCUUACCAUUUUCAGGCACCACCUAAAGGUUUUGGUUGGGGCAACCAUGGAGAAAAAAGAUCCUCCAGAACAAAUAGAAGAAAGCUUUUCACUAUUUUACGACUGAGAACCAGGAACUGGUAUUCGGAAAAAGUUACCGCAGGGAUAACAGCGUCAUCUCCUCUAAGAGUCCUUAUUGACGAGGAGGUUUGCGACCUCGAUGUUGGAUUGGGGCCCCCUUAGGGUGCAGAAGCUCUAAACGGUUAGACUGUUCGUCUAUUAAAGCCCUACAUGAUCUGA